UUUAUAUAUAAUUUUAUUGAGCUUUCGACUCGAUGCUUCCUGCCUACAAUCCGGCGAAACUUUCAAUUUUGAACAAGAAUUAUGUCUGGAUUACAAAUCUUCAAGCUGAUAAAAUAUAUACAUAUACAAUGACAAUAUAUACGUAUGUUUUUAUUUAGUUAUACAACUACCUUGACUUUAAAGAUGAACCUAAAAGAAAGCCAGACAAAAAUCGUCCUGCACCAACUGAAUACGCCAGUAUUGAUAUGAGUAAACUGGCACCUGUCGAGAAAAAAGACGACAAGAAAGGCGGUGACAAAGAAGGAGAUGAGAAGAAGGAAUAAACUGGCGAUCGUCGUUAUAGUAAAACAAGAGUACGUAAAGACUUACUACAUUUAUAAAGAUUAACUUUGUUCUUCAUUAGAUAAUCUAGAUUUGAUCUCUAAACACUAUUAAAAUGAAUACUUUAUGAUUGUGUCUGUGUACAUAAUCUUUUGCCAUGAACAAACUUGAAUCUUGGCAUCUAUGCUACAGUUUGUGAAUGUGUAUUUUACUUGCCUUUAUAAGGCAACAACAUUACACACUGACUUUAACGCAGCAUUUUGAAUAGAAUAUUGUUUUAAUCGUA